rnacentral:rRNA from 1 species
GACGAACGCUGGCGGCGUGCCUAACACAUGCAAGUCGAACGGGACUUAAUGGAAUGCGGCUUCGGCCAAAGGAAGUUAAGUUUAGUGGCGAACGGGGUGAGUAACGCGUGAGGAACCUGCCUUUCAGUGGGGGGACAACAGUUGGAAACGACUGCUAAUACCGCAUAAUGUUAUCGAGCGGCAUCGCUUGAUAACCAAAGCUUUAUGUGCUGAAAGAUGGCCUCGCGUCUGAUUAGAUAGUUGGUGGGGGUAACGGCCUACCAAGUCAACGAUCAGUAGCCGGUCUGAGAGGAUGAACGGCCACAUUGGGACUGAGACACGGCCCAGACUCCUACGGGAGGCAGCAGUGGGGAAUCUUCCGCAAUGGACGAAAGUCUGACGGAGCAAUGCCGCGUGAGUGAUGAAGGUUUUCGGACCGUAAAGCUCUUUUGUUUAUGACGAAUGUGCAUGAUGUGAACAAUGUUGUGUAAUGACGGUAGU